UUUUUUUUUUUUUUUUUUUUUUUUUUUUGGAUCUCGCAAGAUCUGGGUUCUGUAUAAAACAGG
rnacentral:ribozyme from 13 species